GGGGAUUUCAGACACUAUAACCACUUUGAUGAGAUUAAAUAGUUACAGUGCAUAACGCGUCCCUUAAUUCAAACCCUCUGGUAGUGUAAUUCUCAGCAAUCAUGGGCAAUCCAGAACACGUAUGUCCUGGUACUGCCUGGAGUUUGCGAAUCCCUAAUAGCACCAUACCAUGCACAGUGUGGUGUCACGAACGGUGCAUCAUGUGAUUUGAAAAUGUUCUGCUUGUAUUCAUUAAACUCAGUCACUCCAAAAUGAUUGCUGAAUUAGAACAUUCUGUCAGCACGUGGAUGAUUCCAAAGUCCGGUUUGAUGAGUUGGUCAAAAGUCCAGUGUUGUGAUUUCCACAGUAAGAUACACAUUUGGAUAAAAGCAGUUGUGUAAGGACACAGAGUAGUUUGAAAACACAGCUUCUAAAAACCAAAAUCGUUACAACAAAAUGGGGCAAACUGCUCAGAGAGAUACAUGCAUGGCCAAUAUUAGAUUUGUGCAAAAACUUAUUUUGUCCAUAAACAAAUCGAUUCUUAAGAAGUAAAAUACUUUUAAUCCACAACUGAAAUAAUCGAUUCAUUCACAAAAU